GAGUUUGAUCCUGGCUCAGGACGAACGCUGGCGGCGCGCCUAACACAUGCAAGUCGAACGAGAGAGAAGGAGCUUGCUUCUUCGAUCGAGUGGCGAACGGGUGAGUAACGCGUGAGGAACCUGCCUCAAAGAGGGGGACAACAGUUGGAAACGACUGCUAAUACCGCAUAAGCCCACGGGUCGGCAUCGACCUGAGGGAAAAGGAGCGAUCCGCUUUGAGAUGGACUCGCGUCCGAUUAGCUAGAUGGUGAGGUAACGGCCCACCAUGGCGACGAUCGGUAGCCGGACUGAGAGGUUGAACGGCCACAUUGGGACUGAGACACGGUCCAGACACCUACGGGUGGCAGCAGUGGGGAAUAUUGCACAAUGGGGGAAACCCUGAUGCAGCGACGCCGCGUGGAGGAAGAAGGUCUUCGGAUUGUAAACUCCUGUUGUUGAGGAAGAUAAUGACGGUACUCAACAAGGAAGUGACGGCUAACUACGUGCCAGCAGCCGCGGUAAUAC
rnacentral:rRNA from 1 species